AUCAUCAUCAAAGAGGAGAAUUUUUUUUUUUCUCAACAUAAAUUGUGUGGAGUGAAACCUAUAUUUUUUUUUUUUGGUGAUGAUAAAUGUUUCGCGAAAUUGCCGCGUCGCGAAGUGCGGCGCGUAUCGAGUCUCUUCGGAUGGUAAAAGGGAAAAUCCCCGGAUAGAAAGAGAGAUAUAUCCAUAGGGCGAGAGAGAAAGAGAGAGAGACUACAGUGAUGGUUGCAUGUUAAAUGAGCCCCGGGAUCAGAGGAUUGGGGCGGGUCUGAUUAGGGAUCAGAGGAAAAUGGCUAAACUGAUCGGUUAGGCAUCCCUUUUUUUUCUUUCUUUAUUUGUGAUUCUAGCGAAAAAGGAGAAAAUAAGGGUCAGAGGAGACUGAUGUAAAAAAAAAAAUGCAGAAUUUCAAUAUGGAAAAUUUUCUAAAGAAAAAUUUGGUAUUUUAGAUGAUUUAGAUGUGGAUCAGAUAGAAAUAUCGUGAAUCGCGCGAGUAGCGUGAAACGGUUUCCGGUCGAUAGAGGCGCGGCUACCCUGUCGGUGAUUGUGAGGAACAAAAAACCCCUCUCUUGAUUUCUUUCCGUUUGCGUGACCAUCUCUUAGUAAUCUAUAUAUAUAUGUAUGGACGAUGUGUCAAUUAGAGAAGCUUUUUUUAAUGAAUUGAUUGAUGAUAUUGGCCCAGUUUUUUUUGGGUGGGGGGGGGGGGCGUGAUUACUAUCCGAAAAUGUCCCUAGUUUUGUUGAAUAAUGAAUAGGUUGCAGGGUGGUUGUAACCUCGUUAGAUAGAGAGUAGAAAUGGUAAUCCCUCGUGCAUGAGUUCACAAAACCCUCGGUCGUAGGUUACUUCUCUCAUUUGUGGUUGGGGGGAGGGAUCUUAACGGAGAAUGUUUCCUCGGGGGUUAGCUGCUAACUUCAUAAUGAAUCACCGAGGGAGAGGAUAUGUGAAAUCAGUCAUUUUGUGACUGAUGUCUUCAUCACAAGGCGAUAUAUUUUCAUUUUUUUUCUCGAUAAUAUAUGAAAGUUCCCUAUUUUAAUAGUCACGUCAAAUGAAAAGGUCAUGUUGCCUAGAUGGCAGGACACGACAGAAGCGCACAAACAACCCUUAUGUAACUGUGGCAGUGGCAGUGACAAUGACACACGGCGCAUUUCUCCCCUCUGCAUAAACAAUAAACAUAUAUGUAUACGCGUCUUGGUCAAUUAUCUCGCGAACUGUUUUUGUUUCAAUAAUUUCGUGAUACAAGAAAAACAAAAACAAAUCGAUAUAAUGAAGAGUGCCCUUUCAAGAGAGAGAGAGCGAGAGAGAGUGAACAAGAAUUUUCGAGAUUUAAGUUCAUGAUGAUGAUAAAGAAGAAAUUGAAAGAGAGAAAAAGAUUCGACCAUUUUUUUGUUGAUAAAAACGCACGACUGGAAACCGGCAAUUCAUUUGGACAAUCGAUAUCGUCUCAUGCGAGGUGAACAGAUGUUGGAUGCACUUGGCAAUCCAACUGAUGAAAUCGGAGAGGAUGAAACUCGUGGCGAACCAUUCAUAUUAGAA